rnacentral:rRNA from 1 species
AGAGUUUGAUCCUGGCUCAGAUUGAACGCUGGCGGCAUGCCUUACACAUGCAAGUCGAACGGCAGCGCGGGGCAACCUGGCGGCGAGUGGCGAACGGGUGAGUAAUAUAUCGGAACGUACCCUGGAGUGGGGGAUAACGUAGCGAAAGUUACGCUAAUACCGCAUACGAUCUAAGGAUGAAAGUGGGGGACCGCAAGACCUCAUGCUCCUGGAGCGGCCGAUAUCUGAUUAGCUAGUUGGCGGGGUAAAAGCCCACCAAGGCAACGAUCAGUAGCUGGUCUGAGAGGACGACCAGCCACACUGGAACUGAGACACGGUCCAGACUCCUACGGGAGGCAGCAGUGGGGAAUUUUGGACAAUGGGCGCAAGCCUGAUCCAGCAAUGCCGCGUGAGUGAAGAAGGCCUUC